CCGCGGGUCUGUUGGUUCGCGGUCGCCCUCCAACGGCGAGUUGAAAGGAAAAGGCCGAGAGGGCGGCAUCCUGCUCCUUCCAGCAACCAGUCAGGCCGAGCCUGCGACCGCAGCGAAACUGGGGGGGCAAUUUACAAUGACCAGUUAACCUACUAACCGUACGUCAUUCGACUGUGGGACGAAACCGGAGCGCCUGGAGAAAACCCACGCAUUCCACGGGGAAGAAAUAGACUCCUUACAGAGGACUCAGGGAUUGAACUCCGACCUCCAAUGCCCCGAGCUGGUGUGGCGUCACGCUUAUCGUCAUGGCACAGGUGUUGCUUUCAUGAUUGGACCUGUACUGUAAGAUGGAUCAAUGGAAUUUAACCCAGGAAGAUGAAGUUAUGCACUCUGGAAGGAUGAAGAAACCUAGGAUAUACAAAAGGAAUUAAAAUAAACACAAUAGGUGAAGUAGGCCACAUGGCCCUCAAGCUUACUCCGGUUUUCAAUUUGAUCAUGGUUGAUCUACCUCAGACCUCAAUACAUUGCUUCUGCGAGGAUCCUUAUAGCUCUCAAUUCCCUGAUCUUUCAAAAAUUAUCUCCACAUAGUUUAAAAGUGCUGAUAAAACAUUGAUUACCAUGGACCUUUUAAACAAAUAAGCAUUCUGGAUCACCUGCUUCAGUCUUAACAGACCCAACUUUAGCACGAUUUUGCAUGGGAUGCAAUAGCUAAUAUUUGAUGUCAGUCUAAUUAUGCCAAUAAAAAGCACUUCCCUUUCUUGAACUCA